UCCUACACACGCAUGUACUCUCCAGCAUCC
rnacentral:piRNA from 1 species